UACCACGAGAAAUUAUAAAAUGGCUGCAAAAUUUAAAUUUGCCUUACUCUUUUACAAAUAUUAAAAUUGCCAGUAAUGGGAUAAUCAUUUCGGAAAUUAUAAACAUAUAUAUGCCUAAAGUAAAAAAUAAAAAUUUGUAACUAUAUUUUUUUUAAAUGUUAUUAACACCUUCAAAAUGUAUAUAUAUAUAUAUAUAUAUAUAUAUAUAUACCAUAAUUAUUAUUAUUUAUAUUAUAUUCUUUUUUUUUUUUUUAAACGUUUUAAAAGCGCAUUAAUAUGAACAGCUUAGAAAAUGGUUCUAGUAAAGAGAUAAAAAAAAAAAACUGGCAAAUCAUAAAAAAAACUCUAACCAGUUUUAAUAUACAAUUUGAUGAACUGUCAGUAAUUAAUUCAGACAAAGAAGCAUUAAAAAAUUUAUUCAUUGAUUUGUACGAAUAUUUAACAAAAAAAAAAUGUAGAGAUGUGUACUAUAUUGAAAGUGAAAAAGACAAAGAAUUGAGUAUUCCGUCAUUUGCAAGAUCUACUAUAGCGCAGAAAGUUCGAGAAAGUAAUGUUGAUGACAUAGUAAAUGAAGAGCAAAAGUUAAUAAGUACUUACGAAUUAGUGAAGCAAGAAGAAUAUUAUAAUGCAAUGAUAAGAGAAAAAGAAAAGUGGCAAAAUGAAAAUAAAAAUAAACAAAAAAAUAUAAACAAAGAAACAGCUGUUUCUGAUGCUUCAUUUUUCAACGAAUUAGAAAAAACUAGUAGCAUUAUAACUAUUAAAGAUAUUAAUGAAUGUGAGGAUUAUACAGACAUUCAAACGCUUGAUUCAUUCAUUAAUGAAAAAAAUAAAAUUGACGGAACACAUGUCGGAAGAGGCUUAAAUUUUUUAAAUGGAAACGAAAAAAAAAAAUUCAUUAAAACAGUAUGA
rnacentral:lncRNA from 1 species